CCGCAUUGUUAAGUGACCCACUGGCCUUCCCUGUGGCCAGCUGGGCCUCAUCACAGUGCAAGAGGAAUUCCCCUCCCUACCAAAGGGCCAGGCCUGCUUUUUUAGACUGCCCUUUUUGGACUGGGGGCACAUCU
rnacentral:snoRNA from 1 species